CCCUUUGUUCUCCGAGGGCAGCGCGUGGAAGCACUGGCCACUCCACCACCUCGUCACGCUCGAGGCCUCGGGCUCCCGCCAAAGCCAAACCUCGUGCAAUAAAAACACAUUUUUCCAAUAACCACCUACAAACUGCCACAUGGAUGAAGUGCUGCGAAGCCACCCAAAA
rnacentral:lncRNA from 1 species